ACUUACGUGCAGGCGGCAAGGGAAAUCCGGGCUUCGGCUUCAUACCUCCUGGAUAAUGCGGCCGAUUACGGGCUCUUUCGGGAGCCUUCGUGAACAUCGGGCCCCCGGUGCUACGCUGCAAGGCACCUGGACGGGGCUACAGUGCCUGGUCACCCCGAGGGGCUUCCUGGC